rnacentral:rRNA from 1 species
CUGGCUCAGGAUGAACGCUGGCGGCGUGCCUAAUACAUGCAAGUCGAACGCGCUGUGGCAAUUAUUGAGAAGCUUGCUUCAAUUUAAUUGCAAUGCAGCGAGUGGCGAACGGGUGAGUAACACGUGGGAAACCUACCUCUUAGCAGGGGAUAACAUUUGGAAACAGAUGCUAAUACCGUAUAAUAACUUUUACCGCAUGGUGAAAGUUUGAAAGAUGGUUCUGCUAUCACUAAGAGAUGGUCCCGCGGUGUAUUAGCUAGAUGGUGAGGUAAUGGCUCACCAUGGCGAUGAUACAUAGCCGAGUUGAGAGACUGAUCGGCCACAUUGGAACUGAGACACGGUCCAAACUCCUACGGGAGGCAGCAGUAGGGAAUCUUCCACAAUGGACGAAAGUCUGAUGGAGCAACGCCGCGUGUGUGAUGAAGGGUUUCGGCUCGUAAAACACUGUUAUAAGAGAAGAACGUCAGUGAGAGUAACUGUUCAUUGAGUGACGGUAUCUUAUCAGAAAGGGACGGCUAAAUACGUGCCAGCAGCCGCGGUAAUACGUAUGUCCCAAGCGUUAUCCGGAUUUAUUGGGCGUAAAGCGAGCGCAGGCGGUUAUUUAAGUCUGAUGUGAAAGCCUACGG